rnacentral:rRNA from 1 species
GUGCCAGCCGCCGCGGUAAUACGUAGGGGGCGAGCGUUGUCCGGAAUUACUGGGCGUAAAGCGCGCGUAGGUGGUUUUCUAAGACCGAUGUGAAAUCUCCGCGCUUACCGUGGAGAGGUCGUUGGUGACUGGGAGACUUGAGUUUGGCAGAGGUGAGUGGAAUUCCCGGUGGAGCGGUGAAAUGCGUAGAGAUCGGGAGGAACACCAGUGGCGAAGGCGGCUCACUGGGCCAUGACUGACGCUGAGGCGCGAAAGCGUGGGGAGCGAACCGGAUUAGAAACCCCUGUAGUCC